ensembl:lncRNA
CAAGGAGCAGCUGCUUGGUCAUUCUGCCACUGCAGGCUGAGCCACCAGGGGAGCAGCAGCCUGGCAGCACAGGAACAACACGGGCAUUCAAGGGGAUGGGAAAGUGGAAGAACAGGAGGUGUGAUCAGUGGGAACGAGUGACUGAGAGCCCUGAGAGCCCUUGGUUACUGGGAGGCUGUUCAGAACUGGCCUGUGGACAACCUGGAUCCCUGCUGACUCAGAGAGCCACCACCACUGACCGUGGGAAGGCCAGCUCUGGUUCUGCUGGAAACAUCAGAAAAUACUGGUGGCUUCACACUGUGGUUUGUUUUUUAUUUAGUGGAUGGGAAUUUCCAUUUAAAAAUGCUCUGCAACGUUACAAUCUGGAUACAGGAACAGUGAGCCAACAUGGCUCUUUGCAAUACAGCAAUAAACCCUCAAGGACUCUGUGUCCUAUUGUUGCAGUUUUAUGGGCCCUGCCUCUUUUUCUAUAAAUUUGAAGCUGUCGGUCACCAGAUCCUUCUAGAAAACUCCUCACCCGCUUUCCCCAAGAACUCCAGAAUAACCUGCAAUGCUCUGAAACAUCUCAGGAUUUCUUUUGGGACCAAGUCUGGACAGGAGGAUCUUUCAAAGCUCGGCCCUUUCCCUUUCCCCCGAUGCUGAAGAGCUGCCUCCGUGUCACCGAUGCCAGAGCUUCCUCACUGCCAUCCAGCCCACCCAGAGACACCCACCCAGGCUGUUUGGAGCUGUGGCCCCGGGUGAGCUGUUCAUUCCCUGGCAGCCAGGACUCGGUGAGAUGGGACUCUACACUGCCUGUCAGGGGUUGCACUGGUGUGUGUUGUGCAUGCAAGACUUCGGAGCUCUUGCUCUGCUGGGGCCACCAGCCUGGAAUGUGCUUCCUCCUGAAGGGUGUCCUAGUGACAGUCUAAAGGAACUUUGUCAUUUUGGCUCGACUCUGUGUUCCAGUUACCUGGGGGGUUGUGCUGGUGGCUGAGAAGUUCUGCCCAAGCCAGUGCCUUUCCCUGCACUGGGCAGAGGGUGCUGGUGGAGGGGCAGAGAUUCCUCCCAAGUGGGAGGAAUUAGAGUCAUGCAAAUGGCAGACAGAUGCUGAAUUCCUCCAUGCUGGGAUUCCUCAGGAGAAGAGAGUGCCGUGCUGUAGGCACAGGGACAAGGUGUGAGUAGGAAGCGUGUAGGGAAUGGGGGAGCCUCUCCCACCAAGAAUAUGUGCUUUGUACCCUCCACUUCUCUGCUUUUCAGCCAGCCAGCAAAAUUAAAAACAUGUGAGGGGUGGAGCAGGAGGGCAGGGAUUUAUGGGUUGGUUUAUAGGAGAUGAUAUAAAACACUUUUAUGUCAAGUCCUCUGUUGUGUUAAUUUCCUUUCUCCUUCUCUUGCUCUUUACUUCACCACAUGCAGGAGAGGCAGAGCAGGACAGAUCCAGGCUCUCUGCAGUCCCAGCACAAAUCUAUCUACUGGCCUGUGGUCAGUGGCCAGCCCACCCCUUCUCUUACUGUGCCAUUUAUUGUGGCUCAUGGGAAAUGAAACCUGGAGCCAGGUGAUGUCUUUGUGCUGUGGGCACUUCAGACUUGUUGGUUCACCAGCUCUUCUCACAGCUGUGCUGAAAUGUGCCCUAAAUGCCACUGCCCUUGGGAUACCUUUUUGUCUAAUCCUCAGGAUUCCAUUGCAGUUUUAAUCCCAUUGUCAAGACCUACAUGGUUCACAGUCUAAGGGGAUGAGGCUGGUAAAAGAAGUAGAGUUAUUUUUAUUUUGUGGAUGUGUAGAGACGCCUGUGAGAGUUGGUAAGUGGCUGAAUGUAGGUUGUGCCAGUGUGUGAGCUUGUUGUAUGUUGGCUACUGUGAGAAACAGGUGACUCCUUAGCAAAUGACAUUAUUUGAUGUAGUUCACACUUCUUUGUCAUCUCUGACCGAAACAAUGAGGAAAGGUAAGGGAUGAGAAUGGGUUAAGAGGGAAGGGGAAGCAGCAUAAGCAGAUUUUAAAAAAUAAAUUAGUC